rnacentral:tRNA from 1 species
AUUUCUAUAAUUUAUAAAAAAUAUUAAAUUGCAAAUUUAAAUUAAUGUUAAAACAUUAGAAAUU